AGCAGCUCAGUUGGUUAGAGCAUGGUGCUAAUAACACCACAGUUACAGGUUCAAUCCCCAUACGGGCCA